GUAUAGCCCCGAUAGAGCCAAAUAUCCUUUUUGUUUUGUCAUGCUGUCCCGAUAGCUAUCGGGAUUGUCGAAGCAUAAAACAAAAAGAUAUAGGCGAAAGCGGGAGAAUGU
rnacentral:sRNA from 1 species